GACGAACGCUGGCGGCGUGCCUAAUACAUGCAAGUAGAACGCACAGUUUAUACCGUAGCUUGCUACACCAUAGACUGUGAGUUGCGAACGGGUGAGUAACGCGUAGGUAACCUGCCUGGUAGCGGGGGAUAACUAUUGGAAACGAUAGCUAAUACCGCAUAAUAUUAAUUAUUGCAUGAUAAUUAAUUGAAAGGUGCAAUUGCACCACUACCAGAUGGACCUGCGUUGUAUUAGCUAGUAGGUGAGGUAACGGCUCACCUAGGCGACGAGACAUAGCCGACCUGAGAGGGUGAUCGGCCACACUGGGACUGAGACACGGCCCAGACGCCUACGGGAGGCAGCAGUAGGGAAUCUUCGGCAAUGGACGAAAGUCUGACCGAGCAACGCCGCGUGAGUGAAGAAGGGUGUCGGAUCGUAAAGCUCGGUUGUAAGAGAAGAACGGGUGUGAGAGUGGAAAGUUCACACUGUGACGGUAUCUUACCAGAAAGGGACGGCUAACUACGUG
rnacentral:rRNA from 1 species